rnacentral:tRNA from 1 species
GUGUCGAUAUUGCAGACAUUCAUCACCAACGGUUAUUUGGGGUCGACUUGUACCCUAUUUACUUCGUAUCAGUGUUUUUAUCAUCUAUAUAAUAAAAGAAACUGAAUGUGCAUGAGACUUGAUUUUAAUAUAAAAAUAAAUUAAAUAGGCAUCAAUGAUCUAUAUUCGAUACGGACAAAUGCCUACAAUCGAAGGGUAUGUUUGGCAGUAUUGCAACUGUAACAGUCUCAGGAAAAAUGAGCAGCCUCGACCAGGUUUCAAACCUUGGACCUUCGGCUUACCAUGCCAAAGCUCUACCAAUUGAGCUACCGAGGCCACCCGAUACGAGAACCUCUACACACCUUCCCUCUUAUUGCGAGACAUUAGCACUCCUGGCCAAUGUUUGCCGCAGACUUAACCGAAUUCAGAUUCAUACCCCAGCCAAACUGCUUUGCCCUGCAUGGGCUUCAAGGGUGAGCAUCAUGGACGAGCCCCCAAAUGUAACAGUCUCAAGAAAAAUGUGCAGCCUCGACGGGGAUUCGAACCUCGGACCUGCGGCUUACCGUGCCAACGCUCUACCAAUUGAGCUACCGAGGCCAUGCGAUACGAGAACUGCUACACAACUAAUAUGACCUGUCUGUAUUGAACAUAUGUUUACUGGAUAAAAAAGUCAAGGAAUUCUCUUGCCUUCCAAUAAAUUAACUGAACGCCGCCUAGCCUGCAUGAUAGUCAUCAGGUAACCCAAUGCCUAGUCGAGAGUCCUCUAGGGGUUUUGUAUCUGGCUUGAAAUCUUGAUUUGACAUAUUUGUGAUAUUACAUAUGUCAUGCAAUGUAAGUUACAAAUGAAACAUUCUUAUCACACAAGUUUGGUAUCACAGUUUAUUAUAAUGUCUUUAAAACUAUUUAUGUUGCAGAAUGCCAGAAGAAAUUACAGACAACAAUACUGCUCAGUGCAGUAACCAGACCUGAAAAAAAAACACUGCUCAAGGCAAACUUUUGGGACAGAGUGCUGCAUACAUGGGCUUAUGCACAAACUGAGAUUUUGCAAGUCAACUGUCAGUCAUAAAGAGAGACAGUGGACAAUGUUGAACAGAGUUGAAGUCCUGGAAUCUCGGUCAAUUGCAGAUAGCAGCAUGGCGUAAAGCAGACGUCUUGUUUCCCAGUCCAAUUUUAGUCAGGUAUUCUUGGUGGUAUGAAACUGCAGUCAACACAGGCUUUUAGAGGUCUGCAAGUACAGAGUUUUCAAUUGUGAAACAAAG